rnacentral:rRNA from 1 species
UACGUAGGUGGCAAGCGUUAUCCGGAUUUAUUGGGCGUAAAGGGAACGCAGGCGGUCUUUUAAGUCUGAUGUGAAAGCCUUCGGCUUAACCGGAGUAGUGCAUUGGAAACUGGGAGACUUGAGUGCAGAAGGGGAGAGUGGAACUCCAUGUGUAGCGGUGAAAUGCGUAGAUAUAUGGGAGAACACCAGUGGCGAAAGCGGCUCUCUGGUCUGUAACUGACGCUGAGGUUCGAAAGCGUGGGUAGCAAACAGG